rnacentral:rRNA from 1 species
CGAAAGCCUGACGGAGCAAGACCGCGUGGGGGAAGAAGGCUCUUGGGUUGUAAACCCCUUUUCUCUGGGAAGAAAGUUGUGAAAGCAGCCUGACGGUACCAGAGGAAUCAGCAUCGGCUAACUCCGUGCCAGCAGCCGCGGUAAGACGGAGGAUGCAAGCGUUAUCCGGAAUGAUUGGGCGUAAAGCGUCCGCAGGUGGUACAACAAGUCUAGUGUCAAAGACCGGGGCUCAACCCCGGAAAGGCGGUGGAAACUGUUGAACUAGAGGGUCGUAGGGGUAGAGGGAAUUCCUGGUGUAGCGGUGAAAUGCGUAGAGAUCAGGAAGAACAUCGGUGGCGAAGGCGCUUUGCUGGACCAUAACUGACACUCA